rnacentral:rRNA from 1 species
CGGCGUGCUUAACACAUGCAAGUCGAACGGAAAGGCCCUUCGGGGUACUCGAGUGGCGAACGGGUGAGUAACACGUGGGUGAUCUGCCCUGCACUUUGGGAUAAGCCUGGGAAACUGGGUCUAAUACCGAAUAGGAUCAUGCUCUUCAUGGGGUGUGGUGGAAAGCUUUUGCGGUGUGGGAUGGGCCCGCGGCCUAUCAGCUUGUUGGUGGGGUAAUGGCCUACCAAGGCGACGACGGGUAGCCGGCCUGAGAGGGUGACCGGCCACACUGGGACUGAGAUACGGCCCAGACUCCUACGGGAGGCAGCAGUGGGGAAUAUUGCACAAUGGGCGCAAGCCUGAUGCAGCGACGCCGCGUGAGGGAUGACGGCCUUCGGGUUGUAAACCUCUUUCACCAGGGACGAAGCGCAAGUGACGGUACCUGGAGAAGAAGCACCGGCCAACUACGUGCCAGCAGCCGCGGUAAUACGUAGGGUGCGAGCGUUGUCCGGAAUUACUGGGCGUAAAGAGCUCGUAGGUGGUUUGUCGCGUUGUUCGUGAAAACUCACAACUCAAUUGUGGGCGUGCGGGCGAUACGGGCAGACUAGAGUACUGCAGGGGAGACUGGAAUUCCUGGUGUAGCGGUGGAAUGCGCAGAUAUCAGGAGGAACACCGGUGGCGAAGGCGGGUCUCUGGGCAGUAACUGACGCUGAGGAGCGAAAGCGUGGGGAGCGAACAGGAUUAGAUACCCUGGUAGUCCACGCCGUAAACGGUGGGUACUAGGUGUGGGUUCCUUCCUUGGGAUCCGUGCCGUAGCUAACGCAUUAAGUACCCCGCCUGGGGAGUACGGCCGCAAGGCUAAAACUCAAAGGAAUUGACGGGGGCCCGCACAAGCGGCGGAGCAUGUGGAUUAAUUCGAUGCAACGCGAAGAACCUUACCUGGGUUUGACAUGCACAGGACGCCGGCAGAGAUGUCGGUUCCCUUGUGGCCUGUGUGCAGGUGGUGCAUGGCUGUCGUCAGCUCGUGUCGUGAGAUGUUGGGUUAAGUCCCGCAACGAGCGCAACCCUUGUCCUAUGUUGCCAGCGGGUUAUGCCGGGGACUCGUAGGAGACUGCCGGGGUCAACUCGGAGGAAGGUGGGGAUGACGUCAAGUCAUCAUGCCCCUUAUGUCCAGGGCUUCACACAUGCUACAAUGGCCGGUACAAAGGGCUGCGAUGCCGUGAGGUGGAGCGAAUCCUUUCAAAGCCGGUCUCAGUUCGGAUCGGGGUCUGCAACUCGACCCCGUGAAGUCGGAGUCGCUAGUAAUCGCAGAUCAGCAACGCUGCGGUGAAUACGUUCCCGGGCCUUGUACACACCGCCCGUC